CGCGCGUGCUGACCUUGCCUGGACACCAGGCCUGGCCGCCCGGGGGCCCGAGAGCCCAGCGCUCACACCGGGGCACAGCCUCCGAGGCCCCAGUGCGGUGAGAGGCUCCCGCAGGGACGCCUUUGAUCGCUCUCGGCAGCUUGUCGAAGAUGGAUUGUAGAGCACUGGGAAGAAACAAUCUCUUGCACUUUAUGAAUCUAUUUUUAAAAUAAAAAAAAAUUUAAAUAGC